rnacentral:rRNA from 1 species
GUUGUAUAGUUAAGUGACUAAGCGUACACGGUGGAUGCCUUGGCAAUCAGAGGCGAAGAAGGACGUGCUAAUCUGCGAAAAGCGUGGGGGAGCUGAUAAGGAGCGCUAAUCCCACGAUAUCCGAAUGGGGAAACCCGAUAGAUGAAGAAUCUAUCAUUGUUGUCUGAAUUCAUAGGGCAACAAGGCAAACCGGGAGAACUGAAACAUCUAAGUACCCCGAGGAAAAGAAAUCAACCGAGAUUCUGCGAGUAGCGGCGAGCGAAAGCGGAGGAGCCAGCGAGUGAUAGCAUAAGUUUUAGGAGAAUUGUCUGGGAAGGCAAGCGAGAGAGGGUGACAGCCCCGUAUCCGAAAAGACGGAUGUGGUACUAAGCACGCGAGAAGUAGGGCGGGACACGAGGAAUCCUGUUUGAAGAAGGGGGGACCAUCCUCCAAGGCUAAAUACUCCUGAUUGACCGAUAGUGGACCAGUACCGUGAGGGAAAGGCGAAAAGAACCCCGGGAGGGGAGUGAAAGAGAACCUGAAACCGUGUACGUACAAGCAGUGGGAGC